rnacentral:siRNA from 1 species
AAGCCAAAGAGAUCGCAAUUACC